ncrna:unclassified sequences Streptococcus sRNA SpF59 (ldcC RNA)
CGACCGUUCCCCAGGGAACCGAGGCCAUACGGACAGCCGGGUCGAAUGCCGA